GAAUAUUGGACAAUGGGCGAAAGCCUGAUCCAGCAAUGCCGCGUGUGUGAAGAAGGCCUGCGGGUUGUAAAGCACUUUUAUCGGGAAAGAAAAUCACAGGACUAAUACUUCUGUGCCUUGACGGUACCCGAAGAAUAAGCACCGGCUAACUCCGUGCAAGCCGCCGCGGUAAUACGGAGGGUGCAAGCGUUAAUCGGAAUUACUGGGCGUAAAGCGAGUGUAGGUGGCUAUGUAAGUCGGAUGUGAAAUCCCCGGGCUCAACCUGGGAACUGCAUUCGAUACUGCAUGGCUAGAGUCUGAUAGAGGGAAGUGGAAUUCCAGGUGUAGCGGUGAAAUGCGUAGAUAUCUGGAAGAACACCAGUGGCGAAGGCGGCUUCCUGGACCGACACUGACGCUGAGGCGCGAAAGCUAGGGGAGCAAACGGG
rnacentral:rRNA from 1 species